GAAAUAGUAAAGAAGGAUUCUUGUCUGCUGAUGGGCUCUGAGAAGUGCUUAGUCAUGUUUUCUCAACUCAACACAGAAAUGCCCAGCACAUUCCUUGGUGUCCAGCUUUCUUUAUCACAGACCAGUGCCCCGGGGAAAAAGAGCAAUGCUGAUGAAUUACAAACAGGCUCUGCUUGUCUAAAAACAGAUUCUUCAGGCAGAGCUCCAUUCAGCACUUCCACUCAGCACUCUGUGAUGGACGGGGUACGUGGGUAGUUCUUUUUUUGGAUGAAUGUUGGCAACAUGACUCUGGCAUAAUUACUACCCAUACUUUCCUCAAGUCAAGGUCUUGCUCUUAUACAUGCAGACACAGGAGCUGGUCAAGAAAAGCUGCACUGGGUUUUCUGGUUUUGGGCAGAAUCUCCAGAUAGAGAGGAAAUAUUCUUAAAUGGUGUGACCCCACCCAGAAAGCCUGCCCUUUUCCUCCAUGUGAAUUUGCCUCCAGCCUGUCUUCCUCAGGGGUCGCCCUUGGACACCAAGCCUGAAGCUGGCAUCCGAAAAGGGAAAUUCCCAGCCAUGGGCCCUGGGGCCAGAUACCCAAGACUCAGAACUGCUCAGUUCCUGUUUUGUUGGAUGCAGAUGAGGUUGCCCAGCUGAGGAGAGACAAGUCCUCAGUUUUUCUGGUGGCAGCGGCUCUCAUCUUGGACUAAAUCCAGUUUUCUGCAUGGGGUGCUGAAGGAAGAGGCCUCUAUUUGAUAUCUGAAGCAAAAAGCUGGAUUCAUCGUUUGCAAGGCAGUAAACACGGCAGACUGCGGAUCUCCUGUAGAGUAUUUGGGAAGUGUGGGGCUGGGGAUUAGUAGACUCUUAACAGUGGGAGUAUUCAGGCAUUAAGUGACCUUUAGCAGAGGCAGCUUGGUCACUGGAGCAAGGCUGUUGCUGAUUGGCUGGCCCUCAGAAGCACGUGUACUGACCAGAGGAAGCUGUCCUUGAUGAAUUGGGACAGACUGAAAACCUGUUCUCCUGGUUACUUGUUCCAGUGGCCAAAGAACAGUGAGUCUUUUCUUGAUCGGGAGGAUAGGAACGAUUCUCGGUAGGAUCCCUUUUUUAUUUAAAUGUCAAAUAAUCCAGCUCAGAGAUUUUCAAACUUUAACAUGAAUCACAUCAGAUCACCCGGAAGGCUUGUUAGAGCAGACUAUUGGGCCCCUCUCCUGCAGAGUUUCUGGUUAGGUAGGUCUGGGAAGGGAGCCAAGAAUCUGCACUUCUAAUGAGUUCCCAGGUGAUGCAGAUGCUCCUGGUCCAGGGACCACUCUUUGAGAACUACUGGUCCAGCAUCCUAGGACUUGUAGUUAAUUAUUUGCUGUUCAGAAAAUAUUUAGGGGGCUUCCCUGGUGGCACAGUGGUUGAGAAUCUGCCUGCCAAUGCAGGGGACACGGGUUCGAGCCCUGGUCUGGGAAGAUCCCACAUGCCGUGGAGCGACUGGGCCCGUGAGCCACAACUACUGAGCCUGCGCGUCUGGAGCCUGUGCUCCGCAACAAGAGAGGCCACGAUAGUGAGAAGCCCGCGCACCGCGAUGAAGAGUGGCCCCCGCUUGCCACAACUAGAGAAAGCCCUCGCACAGAAAUGAAGACCCAACACAGCCAUAAAUAAAUGAAUAAAUAUUAAAAAAAAAAAGAAUGUUUAAAAAAAAAAAGAAGAAGAUAUUUAGGGAAUUCCCUGAUGA